rnacentral:lncRNA from 1 species
CUUUGUCGUUUACAAUCUUUAUUGCAUUGGAGGGGCCAAAUGGUAGUUUCUGGAACUACAAUUCCUAUUAUGUGUUGCUAAAAAGCUUUGGGUUGUCUCAUUUGACCAUCCCAGUGUUCACAUGAUCACAGAUUUUUGGGGGACUUUUUACAGUGUUACUUACUUUAGGAAAAAAUAACCAAAUUGUAAAUUAUGAACUGUAUGGUUACAUCAAAUGUUUUUGCUUAACAUGUGAAGUUAUUGAUAAUACACACUCUUGUGAAAAUCACAGUAUUUCACAUUAAUUCGCUAAAGUCUGAAUACCCCUGUCCUGGAUUUCCAAAUUAAACCUGAUGUAUAAAGCGUAUUCUGUCUGUCUUUUCAGCCUCUGAAUUACCUUGAAUGUAUUCUGAAUUGCAACCUGUGUGGUUGCAACAGAAAGUCUAAAAUCCAGAACUGAAGUGUAGAUACAUGCAAUAGAAUGCUCUAUUUUUUUUUUUUUUUUUUGCUCAAUGCCUACAAAUGUGGUUCAUUCAACUUUCCAGGCAGAUAGUGGCCAGUAAUAACACAUUCAAGAAUCUGUAAUUGGCACAAUUUGUAUAACCGGAUCUUUUGGAGAACGGCUUUACUUCAUAGUAGGAAACAUUAUACCACAAUAAUUAAAGCAUAAAUAUUUAGGUAAAAGAUAAAUCAGAUUUAUUUUCGUUACUCCUUAGCCAGAAUGUCUAUGCUGCAAUCAAAGGGACACUCCAGGCACCCAGACUACUUCUGCCCAUUGGAGUGGUCUGGGUGCCAACUCCCACCACCCUUAACCCUGCAAGCUUAAUUAUUGCAGUUUUUAUAAACUGCAAUAAUUGCCUUGCAGGGUUAAGUCCUCCUCUAGUGGCGGUCUAUCAGACAGCCACUAGAGGGACUUUUGGGUUCUUAAAACAUGAAAAGUGUUUUAAAUUACGCUGGACAUCCUGACACUAUGCAUGAGGACCUCCAGCGCCGCCGGAAUGCCCAUAGGAAAGCAUUGAAUAAUGCUUUCCUAUGGGGAGGUCUACCAUUGCUGCGCAUGCGCAUUAAGUCUCCCCCGCCAGCUGAUGGCGGGGGAGGAGAGUAGGCUUAGCCUGACCCAGCGCUGGACUCAGGUAAGUCACUGAAGGGGUUUUAACCCCUUCAGCAACAUAGGAUGGGGGUUGGGAGGGAGAUGGGCACUGCAGGAUUAAGCAGGGCCAGGAAAACAGAUAUGUUUUCUUGGCACUGGAGAGUUCCUUUAAGCAUAUUUCUGUAGAUUUGUCUAUCAAAUGCAGAGGAAUAUAUUUUUCCAUAAAUAAAUCUAACUUGUUUUAUAAAUAAGACUAUUACUCAAACUUUACAAAAGCUAUUAACUGAGUGAGACCACUGGCCUGUUCAAUUCUUAUCAAUCCUUUGCAGAGAUUAUCUAAUCAUUCAUUGCAGGUUACUAGUUACACUGCAUAAUCAAAUUAAGUGUUUGUGUACAAAUAGCCAUGCUCUCCAUUUAGUGUUUCUUUUGUCAGCGGUCAAGAUUCUUGACGCACAUUACUGGUGCAAUAGACUGGAAACAAUUACUAAAAGUAAAGGAUUAUUGUGUGCCAUAAAAUAACCUAUGCUGCACCAUAACAUUAUUUGCAAGAAAACAUCCAUUAUGAGAGACAUCUUUCUGUUUCAGCAUCUGCUGUCCAAACACUGAUACUUCCAAUGGACCUUCCCACAGAUACUUAUAAAUAAAAUCUGAAGUGGAAUCAUUAGUAGUUUCAUCACAAGCUGAGGGUUGUUUAAAGAGGCACUUCAUGCACCAUACCCACUACAGUGCCUUGGGACUAUCCCACAAUAAGGAGUCAUUUCAGAAUGGUGUGGCACUUACAUGGGACCAGAGUUUAACCCCUUGGCUGCUGGAGGUGUAAACAUAAUUACGUGCUGGCUAAUGGCAAUUCUGUGCAAAUUUUCAUGCACAUAAUGCCAUUCAGCCAUGCUGCAUAAGCCAGAAAUGCAUCACCCAUCAAGUCGAGGAACUUUGGAGCCUGACAGGAACCCAGGUAAGAGGGCAAACGUUAUUAAACAGUUUGCUUCAUUAUAGGGAACCAUUACUUCUGGCCAGGGCUGGUGCAACCAUAAGGCAGCACAGACCACUGCAAUGUUCAGGUGUCCAUCAGGAAGGAAGCGUACAGAACUCCCCCUCAUGACAGUCACUUCUUGUAGUGUGGCCGCGCAGACCAUCUUCUGUAUCUUCUAUCCAGGCUGACAGGAAGUGCUGAUUGGGAGCAACAAGCAGCUUCCUGUCAGACCUGGUUGAAGAAAUAGAAGACCCUGAACAGCCAUUAAUGCGGACGCACUAUGUGGAGGUACGCAAACACGAAAGUGGGGCGGGCAUUGAGACACGCAAAGGGCUGGGGGAUGAUAAAGAUAUAUACAGAGGGGCUUGGGGACGACGACAAAAAUUUAUAUGGUGCUGGUGGGCAAUGAGGCACACAGAAAGGCUGGGGGACGAUAAAGAUAUAUACAGAGGGGCUUUGGAGGAUGACAAAGAUUUAUAUAAAGGGGCUGGUGGGCAAUGAGGCACACAGAAGAGCUGGAGGGGGCAAAUAGACAUACAGAGGGGCUCAGAAGGGGAGAGACAGUGAAGCUGGGGGAAAGGGAGAUUAAGACACACAGAGGAGUUAGGGCAAGGGAAAAGACACACAGAGGGGGUGAGGAUGUAAGACAGACACAUAGGGACAAGAAGAAAUUAAGAGACCCACAAGGGGAAAAUUGGGGAUAAAAUAAACAAAAAGGAGUAACACAUUCAAAAGAGGGGAUUAGAACCACACCACCUGCCUUUUGCAGAUGAAUCAGAUCUUAACAUUAUCUUCCCAAUGGCAGCACAGGAUGCCUUGGGGCAAAUGGUUAAAUAAAGUAAAUA